rnacentral:rRNA from 1 species
UACGUAGGGUGCAAGCGUUGUCCGGAAUUAUUGGGCGUAAAGAGCUCGUAGGCGGUCUGUCGCGUCGGCUGUGAAAGUCCAGGGCUCAACCCUGGGAUGCCGGUCGAUACUGCCGGACUAGAGUUCGGAAGAGGCGAGUGGAAUUCCCGGUGUAGCGGUGAAAUGCGCAGAUAUCGGGAGGAACACCUAUGGCGAAGGCAGCUCGCUGGGACGUUACUGACGCUGGAGACGCGAAAGCGUUGGGGAGCAAACAGG